UACGGAGGGAGCUAGCGUUGUUCGGAAUUACUGGGCGUAAAGCGCACGUAGGCGGCUACUCAAGUCAGAGGUGAAAGCCCAGGGCUCAACCCUGGAACUGCCUUUGAAACUAGGUAGCUAGAAUCUUGGAGAGGUCAGUGGAAUUCCGAGUGUAGAGGUGAAAUUCGUAGAUAUUCGGAAGACACCAGUGGCGAAGGCGACUGACUGGACAA
rnacentral:rRNA from 1 species